rnacentral:rRNA from 1 species
UACGAAGGGGCGUAGCGUUGUUCGGAGUUGACUAGGGCGUAAAGCGCACGUAGGCGGACUAUUAAGUCAGGGGUGAAAUCCCGGGGCUCAACCCCGGAACUGCCUUUGAUAACUGGCGAUCUUGAGUCCGGGAGAGGUGAGUGGAACUGCGAGUGUAGAGGUGAAAUUCGUAGAUAUUCGCAAGAACACCAGUGGCGAAGGCGGACUCACUGGCCCCGGUACUG